AUUGAACGCUGGCGGCAGGCUUAACACAUGCGAGUCGAGCGGGGUGAUGGUGCUUGCACUAUCACUUAGCGACGGACGGGUGAGUAAUGCUUAGGAAUCUGCCUAUUAGUGGGGGACAACAUCUCGAAAGGGAUGCUAAUACCGCAUACGUCCUACGGGAGAAAGCAGGGGAUUACUUGUGACCUUGCGCUAAUAGAUGAGCCUAAGUCGGAUUAGCUAGUUGGUGGGGUAAAGGCCUACCAAGGCGACGAUCUGUAGCGGGUCUGAGAGGAUGAUCCGCCACACUGGGACUGAGACACGGCCCAGACUCCUACGGGAGGCAGCAGUGGGGAAUAUUGGACAAUGGGGGGAACCCUGAUCCAGCCAUGCCGCGUGUGUGAAGAAGGCCUUAUGGUUGUAAAGCACUUUAAGCGAGGAGGAGGCUCUUUUGGUUAAUACCCAAGAUGAGUGGACGUUACUCGCAGAAUAAGCACCGGCUAACUCUGUGCCAGCCGCCGCGGUAA
rnacentral:rRNA from 1 species